rnacentral:lncRNA from 10 species
ACUUCUUGUUUCAGAAUCCUGGAGAGCUGGCUAACUGCUGGGCACAAGCCCAACAGCUUGAGCCCCAGGCUGAUAGAAACCAAAGAGCACAUUUUCACUGAUUACAAAGCCAAGCUCUUAUGACUUCAGAGAAGAUGAAGCAGAGUCUGAUGCAGGACAGUUGAAUUUGGGAAGGAAGGAACACGCAAAAAUUUUUACCUUCUUCUUUCAAUUGGACACUAUGGACGGAAAUCCAGGAGAGCUGACCUUGGAACUGCAGACACUGCAGAUAAAACAGAGCCAGAAUGCUUUGCUGCCAGCUGGACCUUUGACCCAAACCCCAGUGUGACUGUCUCCGGUGCUCACUCAACUGCAGUGCAUCAAUGAAGGAAAAAAGAACUGAGCAUUGGCAAAAAGCUGAGGAUGACAAGCUUAGGGGAUGAAAGGCUGCCUUUUCCCCCCCUUCUGAGCGUUUCUGACAGCUCCCAGCUGGGAGAAACCAACAUGACGAAAAGACAAAGAAUACUGGAGAAGAGAGAGGGUGGGCAGAGCCACAACCUCAUCCUCCCAGUGGUUCCUCUUGAGUUUGAUUUGACAAGAUGCCUUCCCACCCAGGUAACCCCGUGGGAACGUGCCAGUACCUCACCGCACGACCUCACUGAGUCCUCACAACAAAUCCAGGCUGCAGAUUUUUUUCCCCACUUGGAGAUGACAAAUUGAAAUGCAGGAAGGUUAAAGAGUUUGCCUGAGGUUGCUUAGAUAAUAAAAGAAUCUGGAUUAGAACCCAGACCUACCCAGCUAA